rnacentral:lncRNA from 1 species
GUGAAUUCAUGACACCUUUGACUCUUCUACUGUCUCAGACCUUAGAUUUGGAUUUAGUAGAAAAAAUGUAAAACUUCAAAGGAAGCAACGGGCUGUCUUGAGAGUUAGAAUUCUUCACCUCUGAAAACAGUCAAGAAAAAUGAUAAAAGGCAUUUACACUCUGAGGGAAGAUGUACAACAUGUCAGCCUUUCCGGCUGGUGGCUGUGUGAUGGGAAGCAGAGUAGAGAAAAGAGGUCCAGGAGGCUGGCAGACUAGACACUGUCGGGUGUUUAAACUAGACCAGCAGAUGGAUAUUUUCUCCCCUGCAUUUUUCAUCAGUUCCCCUUCCCGUCAUGCACCAGAGAGAGAAUCCUGCUGUCAUACAGUCACUCCUGAGAUCUGCUUUGCCACAGAUGUUAGUGGAUCAGACAUAAAAACAGCCGUCAAAAUUGGACCUGCUACUAGAAAUAAAAGACUAGAAAGAAAUAUUCCAAGAUGGUACUACCAUGGUGGGACUCCAGGCUAUUUUAGGUCUUUCUGGAUUUUCCAACCCUUCUUUGAUGAACAUAUACAGAUUUUAUAAUUUCAGGGAAUUUUUAAAUGAUUUUUUAAAAAAUCUUGUCAAUUCCAUUCCAUUCAUCCUUCGCCAGUAAAUAUCCAAAACAAAGUAUAUCUGAAAAAAAAAAAAAAAAACAAAGUAUAUCUGAAGCCUUAGCACAAAGGACCCACCAAGCAAUGCCUUCCUUGUAAGAACACAGGAGCCAACUACCACAAAGGUAGCUCCUACCCUUCUAACCUGAGACAUGGUUUGAGCAUUCUCUCCACUCCCUAAAUUUUGAGGUGGUGGGCAGGAAGAUAUUUAGUUUGAAUACAAAAGAGCAGAUUGAGGUUUUCCUCUGUUUUGCCUCUUUUUCUUCCCUUAGCUGUUGUAUUGGCUUUGGACCUGCCUAGAACAAAGUCAGGCAGGAAGUACAUACAAGAUACCAACCAGCUAUGUACUUCAUCAUUUUCCCAAACACUCCUCUGCCCCUGUGAUGCACGGACCUGAGGUGAAACCACCACAGCUGCACAAAUGCUCCGUUGGGAUUACUUCUACCAACCGAGUUCUCUCAGGCACAGAGGAGCAGUUUUUGACUGAAAGGAGCAUUGGAGCCACUGACAUAAACCCUGCCUUGACCUUGCCCCACCCACCACUCUUCUUUCUCAUAUCUAAUCUCCCACAGAACUCCCAGAGCCACUGCCUCCCCUCCCUGACUUCUCAGGCGGCCUGGCUUCCCACUCCCGCCCCUCCCUCUAGGGAUCCUACCCUGUGGAUCAUCAACAAUCCCCUUGUCAAGUCCAAAGGCCAGUGUCCCACUUACCUUGCCCCUUGGCUUACAUGAAAUCUUCGAUUGUUUAUUCUUCAAACUCUUACUCCUGGGAUCCCUGGGCGGCGCAGCGGUUUGGCGCCUGCCUUUGGCCCAGGGCGCGAUCCUGGAGACCCGGGAUCGAAUCCCACAUCAGGCUCCCGGUGCAUGGAGCCUGCUUCUUCCUCCGCCUGUGUCUCUGCCUCUCUCUCUCUCUGUGACUAUCAUAAAUUAAAAAAUAAAUAAAUAAAUAAACAAACUCUUACUCCCUUG